rnacentral:rRNA from 1 species
CCUACGGGUGGCAGCAGUGAGGAAUAUUGGUCAAUGGGCGGGAGCCUGAACCAGCCAAGCCGCGUGAGGGAAGACGGCCCUAUGGAUUGUAAACCUCUUUAGGCGGGGAGCAAUGCCGGGCACGCGUGCCCGGAGGGAGAGUACCCGCAGAAUAAGCAUCGGCUAACUCCGUGCCAGCAGCCGCGGUAAUACGGAGGUUGCGAGCGUUAUCCGGAUUUAUUGGGUUAAAGGGGUGCGUAGGCGGAUUUUUAAGUCAGCGGUAAAAUGUCGGGGCUCAACCCGGGCCGGCCGUUGAAACUGGGGAUCUUGAGUGGGCGAGAAGUAUGCGGAAUGCGGGGUGUAGCGGUGAAAUGCAUAGAUAUCACGCAGAACUCCAGUUGCGAAGGCAGCAUGCCGG